rnacentral:rRNA from 1 species
AUUGAACGCUGGCGGCAGGCCUAACACAUGCAAGUAGAGCGAGCGGCGGACGGGUGAGUAAUGUCUGGGAAACUGCCUGAUGGAGGGGGAUAACUACUGGAAACGGUAGCUAAUACCGCAUAGCCUCAGAUGUGCCCAGGUGGGAUUAGCUAGUAGGUUGGGUAACGGCGCACCUAGGCGCCGAACCCUAGCUGUUCUGAGAGGAUGACCAGCUCGACUGGUAAUGAGACACGGUCCAUACUCCUACGGUAGGCAGAAUGAGGGAAUAUUGCACAAUGGGCGCAAGCCUGAUGCAGCCAUGCCGCGUGUGUGAAGAAGGCCUUCGGGUUGUAAAGCACUUUCAGCGGGGAGGCGUUACCCGCACAAGAAGCACCGGCUAACUCCGUGCCAGCAGCCGCGGUAAUUC